rnacentral:ncRNA from 1 species
GACACGGGGUGCCGGGUCUGUUCUCCAGGACGGAGUACGGGUCGGCUGAGAUGACACCCGUCGAACCUGAUCCAGUUAGCACUGGCGAAGGGAAUGU